GCGCUGAGGCGGUGGCGGAGCCGCCCGGCCAUGGAGCGCUACGAGAAGCUGGGCAAGGUCGGGGAGGGCUCCUACGGCGUCGUCUUCAAGUGCCGCAACAAGGACACGGGGCAGAUUGUGGCCAUCAAGAAAUUCCUGGAGUCCGAGGAGGACCCGGUGAUCCGGAAGAUCGCCCUGAGGGAGAUCCGCAUGCUCAAGCACCUCAAACACCCGAACCUGGUGAAGCUGCUGGAGGUGUUCCGGAGGAAGCGGCGGCUGCACCUGGUGCUGGAGUACUGCGAGCACACGGUGCUGCAGGAGCUGGACAGGCACCCCCGCGGGGUGCCAGAGUACCUGGUGAAGAGCAUAACCUGGCAGACCCUGCAGGCUGUGAACUUCUGCCAUAAACACAAUUGCAUCCACAGGGAUGUGAAGCCAGAGAACAUCCUGAUCACGAAGCACUCUGUCAUCAAACUCUGUGACUUUGGAUUUGCUUGCAUACUGACAGGUCCCAGCGAUUACUACACGGACUACGUGGCCACCAGGUGGUACCGCAGCCCGGAGCUGCUGGUGGGGGACACCCAGUACGGCCCGCCCGUGGACGUGUGGGCCAUCGGCUGCGUGUUCGCCGAGCUGCUCUCGGGGAUGCCCCUGUGGCCCGGCAAGUCGGACGUGGAUCAGCUGUACCUGAUCCGCAGAACGCUGGGGGAUCUCAUUCCCAGGCACCAGCAAGUGUUCAGCACCAACCAGUUCUUCAGUGGGGUAAGAAUUCCAGACCCAGAGAUCAUGGAACCAUUGGAAGUGAAAUUCCCCAAUAUUUCAUACUCUGCACUGGCUCUCAUGAAGGGCUGCCUUCGGAUGGACCCUGCAGAGAGGCAGAGCUGUGAGCAGCUGCUGCAGCACCCCUAUUUUGACAGCUUCAGGGAGGCAGCAGAGCUGGCCAGAGAACACCAGAGGGGCGCUGGGAACCCGGCCAGGCUGGCCCGGAAGCACCUGCCAGGGUUACAGCACCUGCCUCAGCUGACCUGCAGCAAAGUUCUCCCAGCUCUGGACAGCAAGAAGAACUGCUGCAAGACAAGGAAAUCAAAGUACCACUUCCCAAACAUCUGACCAGGUGGCAGAUUAAAACUCAGUUGUUUGAAGUCAUCCAGGAUUUAUAAAUGGAGGAUACACAGUGGAAAACUAAAUUACUAAAAGUUCUGGCAUGUACAGAGUGAUCUGUCCUCUCCUCUGGGUCACUGAUGGAGAGGAAGUGAUGCAGAAACAACUCCAAGCUCAUCUUAAGUGUUCUGUGUACAAAGGCAAAUGCAUUCUGCUUUCAUUCCUGAUUGCCUCUUGCUGCAGGAUUAUCCCAACCCAGUGCUUACAGGAUGAAAUUUAAAACUCUGUCCCUGCACUUCAGACUUGGCAGGAGAGCUCCACCUUGCCAAAUACACCAGUCCCUGCUGCUUUAGGCUGGGCCCAGGUCCCUGCUGCUUUAGGCUGGGCCCAGCCCCUGCUCUGUGGGGAGCUGUGCCUGUGCUGCUGAAGGGCUGAAGCUGUGUUGGUGCAGCCCAGGCUGGGAGGGGCUGCCUGCCUGCUCCUGAGGCACCAGGAGAACAGACCAACAUCCCUGCUGUGUCUUUAGUCUUUUCCAGAGCUUCUCCUGCCAGUUUCAUCAUCAAAUUCCGCUUCUGACAAGAGUGAGGGCACUUGCUUGUAGUUACAGAAAUGAUUUUAUCAAAACUAAUCAUGAAUGUAAUUUAUAACAAUGGCCAGACACAGGCAGGAAUUCUACCUAAGUGUUUGUAUUAGAACGACUGGGGUUUGUGGAAUCUCAGAAUUUAAUAUUGUGAUGAUUUUGAAUAAAAGAAAUUUAGCUUUUUCCAAUU